rnacentral:lncRNA from 1 species
UGGUGGAGUAAAUGAUAGUGAUGGUAAAAAAAUGUAUAAGUGAUAAUAAAACUUACUUCUCAUUGCUCCUCAUAUUGCUAUCUCUCCUCUUCUUUGAUCUUUGCUUUGGGAGAACAUGGGCUAUCUCUUUUUUUUUCAGGUGGGUAGUAGACACCCCUAAUUCUACUGUCGGACACUUGUCCAUUUUUUUCCACUCUAGUGGGCAUCUUUGUACCCCUAAUUCUACUCCGGACACUUGUCCAUUUUUACCUCUUGUCUCACACUUUUUCUUUCUUUUUCGAGGUUCCGGGCACUUGCCCCUUUUUAUUUCCUCGCAUAUUUUUGCAUAACCCAUGCCUCUUUUGUAUAGAAUCUUUUUAGAGAGAGAGAAUAACAAUAUUUGGGACAAUGAGUGAUAAUAUUUUUAGCAAUUUUAAUGAGUGGUGGUGGAGGGUGUAGUAGAUGUGUGCAAGUGAAUAUCUUAAUUUAACCACAUGAAAAGCUCCUAAGGGUCUACAC